CCUCUGCGUUCGCUCUGCCUAUAAAUAGCGCAGGACGUGCUCGCCUUGGCGAUGACGCGGCCAGGCGGGUGGAGGGGAACGAGGGAGCUCUGCCGGAGCAGACUUGAUGCCCAUUCUGAGCCAAUGCCAUCAAACACCAGAUCCUGGACUUCCUGUAUCCGAACCCCCAGUAAGGUGGCUUCUGCACUCAGAAGGGCAUGAGGGGUCAACGACAAGGAGACGUGACAUCCCCUUCCCGUCUGGCCUACCAGGGCUCAGUGCCAGCAUAACCUCACCUGCUGUCCGGGGCUCUUCUCCUCUGGUCCUGACCCUUCACUCUCGGCCGGGGCUGUGAAUACUAGAGAUGCCAGGGCAGGGCCAGCGCGUGAGGCAGCAGGGAGUGGCCGGCCUGUGCUCCAUUCCUGCCCCCGGGCCCGCCUCCACUCACCACUGUCUCCAGGGCCCUCCUCUGAGCUGCGGAUGCUGCCUUCCCCAUCCUCAGUCAGCUCAUCCCGCUCACUCUGGGGACAAGUCGGGGGUCGGGGGAGGGCUCAGCCCCUGGAGCCUUGCCCUCAGAGACCCCUGCCCCCCCAGGCUCGCCUUUGGUGCCUGACAUACCAGGCUCCGCGUGGGGGACUCAGAGGUACUGCUGAAGCUGGAGCGAUUCAUCAGUGCCAAGGAGGUGCCAUAGCGCAGGGUCUCGUAGACGGGGUCUACCUUCCCGCUGGCCCCUGCCAAGGAGCCACCCUCAAGGCCGGGCACCCAGCUGCCACCCUUGCUCUGCCCAGAAGCCCUGUAUUACUUUCAUUCCCUGCCCUGUCCCACCCCCAGACCCUCUCUGCCUGCACUAGUCUUCUCCAGAUCCCCUUGGAAUAACUCGCCAUGCUGCGCAUCUCUGGACACUUUCACUAUCCCUGCAGAUGGGGACGGUGCCUACUUUUUUCUUAGUCCCUAUCCUUGCGGGUUCGGGCAUUCAUGAGAACAGUAAUGAAUGGAUGACUUGUGUGAUUAUCCAUUUCAUGUCCAGCUCCCUUACUAGACCAUGAACUCCACCUUCUUCCGUGCCUUGUCCCCAUGUCUUGCACAAUGCCUGACACUUAGUAAGUGUUCAAUAAACUGUUGAAGGAUGAA